rnacentral:lncRNA from 1 species
CUUUCCCAUCUGUCUCGUUCCCUUCUAACCGCAGUUAUAUAGAGCACCUGGGCCUUGGGCCCUGUGUUAUUUAACCUCUAUCCCAGAAGGAUGGUGUGCUGUGUCCCCAUGAAAGUAGGGAGGGCAUUACCCACUGUGAAACUGACCGUUGCAAGUAAUGAAGGCAGCAAGGCUCCCCAGCCAUUGAAUCUACACCUUUGCAAAAGAAAAGCUGUGUAUGGGAGAAAUUUUCCUGGCUGUGGGAGGUUGCAGUUUUAUUCCAAUCCUGGAAGAAGAUACUGUCCUUCAUUAGUUACUGGUAUAGAUGUAAUUGGGGAUACAAAUUCCAAUACAGACAUUUUGAAUUCAGUCCCUUUUAUUCAAAACCUAGUACUGGACAUACUCAAAAAAAGUGACAUAGCCCCAGUGAUCACUCAUAUUUCAACAGAAUGAAGUCAUAAUAUUACUACAAGCUCUUUAUGACUGCAACAAAUUAAUAGUUAUGCUUCCAUCUAUGCAUCCAUAUAUGAUAACAUUCUGGUCCCUAUGUAGACAAAUAGUUGGAGAGACAUGAAAAAUCUCCCCUGUUCCUCUUCAGUUCUUCCCUUCUGCCCUUUCUUCAAUUCUUCAAUCUUUUCCAGAAGUAUCCCAAGAGGAGAUUUCCUGUCUUCUCUCAAAAUCCACCACCUCCACCUGCACUUCCAACACUACCACGGCUUCACUGAAACUGUCCUCACAUAAUUGUCUUCCUAUUUCUCUGGCCGUUCAUUCUCAGUCUCAUUCACGAGCUCCUCCACUGCCUCCCUCCCUCUAACUGUGGGUGUCCCUCAAGGUUCAGUUCUGGGUCCCCUUCCACUCUCCAUCUACACUCACUCUCUUGGAGAACUCAUUCACUCCCAUGUCUUCAUGGCUUUACCACCUCUAUGCAGAUGAUUCCCAAAUCUACAUAAUAAUGAUGCUAUUUGUUAAGCGCUCACUAUAUGCCAAACACUGUUCUAAGCACUGAGGUAGAUUCAAGAUAAUUAGGUUGUCCCAUUUGGGGCUCACAGUCAUAAUCCCCAUUUUACAGAUGGGGUAACAGAGGCACAGAGAAGUGAAGCGACUUGCCCAAAGUCACACAGCUGACAAGUGCCAGAGUAGGCAUUAGACCCCACGGCCCCUGACUCCCAAGCCUGUGCUCUUUCCACUAAGCCAUGCUGCUUCUCAUAAUAAUGAGGGUAUUUGUUAAGCGCUUACUAUGUGCCAAGCACUGUUCUCAGCACUGGGGCAGAUACAAAGUGAUCAGGUUGUCCCAGGUGGGGCUCACAGUCUCAAUUCCCAUCUUACAGAUGAGGUAACUGAGACACAGAGAAGUUAGCUGACUUGCCCAAGGUCACACAGCAGACAAGUGGCGGAGGAGGGAUUAGAAACAGUGACCUCUGACUCCCAAGCCCGUGCUCUUGCCACUAGGCCAUGCUGUACAUCUCCAACCUUUCUCACUCUCUGCAGUCUCACAUUCCUCCUGCC